AUAAACUCAAAGCUCUUGGACUUAGACACAACACUUGCGUUUUCAUUGUCGAGAAGACCAUGUACCACGUGCUCUGCCGCCUGUUGCUAGCGUCACAUGUUUUGGAAAAAUUAAUGAAGGGCACUUCCCAAGAAGUUCAGACGGAAGGCACUUUCGAGUAUUCUUGUUACGCUAACUUCUCCAGCUCGACGUGAGGCAAUAAAGUCGAACAUUGUGAGUACAAGUAAUUGUUACAUUGGUUUCCCUCCUACUUCCUAUGGCUCUAAGUUGAUAGCUAGUUUUGUUUGGAAAUUAUGAUUGAUUUCAGGGUUUUUGGAAGUCGCUACACCCCGGAGUUUCAAACACCUUGUGAAUGGCAACUAACAUUUUCUAGUGAAUUUACUAGAGACAAAUAUACAUAACUUAUAAGCGCAAGUACAUAAAAAAUAAAACCACAAUUCUCAUUCACUACGUUGCUAACUUUGUUAUUAUACACGGUGAUUCAAAAUAAAGUGCAAAGAUUUUAA